CAGAGUUUUCUUUGAAACUCCAAAGAAGGAAAAACUCUUACCUUGUGGCAAACAGCUCAUUCCAAGCAGCCAGGACUCCGCUCAAGGGUCCUAUGCAAUGAACAGGGAAGCUGAAACUGCAUUGUCUGGUGCUGGUGGUGACUUCUGAUGAGAUGGUCCUGAUGAGUUUCCUACUUUCUGCUUCAUCGGAUUUAUCUUGGCAGUCAAUUUCUCCAUUACACCGCAAGCGGGCAUCAAUACAUUGUCCUUUCUCACACUGAAACUGGGCUGCUGAGCAUAUAGGACAGCUAUCUUCAUCACUCUGAUCAUCACAUUCUGGAAAUCCAUCGCAUCGCCAUGCCAUUGGGAUACAGUCUAUCUCCCCAGUCGCACAGGCCCUGCACCAUCCUUCUUCCAGAUGUGGAGUUUGACAGAAGGCCUCCUGUAUCUCAUCAGCACUUCUCUGUCAGUCAGCCAGAAGGGACCCAUUACCACCAUCCCCAGGGGCUCAGUGUCUCUACAGUUCUAACAUCUGCUGGUUCCCAGAGAAAGAAACCAAAUGUGGAACCAGAUUAUGGAUCCCUGCCUUAUUCUGGGCACAGAGAAUGAAUCAGGACUGCAGAGAGAAUGAAGCUAUUUGUAAGAUCCCUGCUUCAUUUACUCUAGAAGCUGGAAGCUCUGUAGGGCACAGCAUAGGGGCCUGCAGGUGGAGAAAGGUGGGUUUGUUGUUUUUUCCCCCAGUAGUGAUUUCCCACAACAUUCAGCAGCUCUUCCUAUUUCCUGCUUUCUGCCCUGCACUCCAGUUUUCAGCAGCAGAUCCCCCACUCCACCCAUCAACUGCCCAACAGCAAAGGGCAAAAGCCAGCUCAGUUGCUGAGAUGCAGGGCAUCAAAGCUCCUGCUGCAGAGGGCAGGCUCAGCAGCAGAGGGAGGGAGGUACUGAGGGGGAAAUGAGACAGAUGGUUUAUUCAGGCUGUAGUCAGACCCUUGAAAAUGGAGAUGAAAUGAAAGUGCUUUGGGAGGAAGGUGGCAAAGCGACAGGCAGUGAUGAGAUAGUCUGAUCAAUUAUGUGGCAUGAUAGUAUAGAUGAGCUUGGAAGUGGGGAGAGGCGGAACGGAGAGAGUAGCAGGCUCUAAGACAGGAAGGAGAAAGAUGAGGGGACAGUGUGGAAAGAAUGGACGAGACAAAGAUGGUGAGGGGGAACACACUCAUAAUACAAAACCAGUGUCAAUAUUUCAACAACGAUCUCAGACAUCUUAUUUCCACAGGACAGAGAUUCUAGGCUCACUUUUCAAGCGCCUGACCCUUAUAAAGUAGCAUCUAAGGCAGAGCUGUUGUCACCUCUAGAGCAUUUUACGGUGUUUGAAAAUGGUUACUAAGAAGAACUGAGUUAACUGACAGAACAGACCAGGCCAGGCCAUACCACGAUAAGCAUCACGUCAGCUCACCGUGACUGACCCUCAACCCAGCAGGAUUUAAUUGUGGUUCAUCGACGUCAUGCUGACCAUGACUCGUGCUGGUCUGCACUGACUAGUCUGCUGUGGUCAGUGUCAUGUCAGCUAAAUCAAUCAUUUACAAUUGCGUGUGAAUGCUGUGGCAAUUUGUAUUGUAGCCCAGUCUACAUUUAGACUGUAUGCUCCAUGGGGCAGGGAGAGUCCCUCUACAUUUGCAGGAAACUGUCCCAGGCUUGGUUUGGGCCUCUACCUACUGCUAGAAUACCAGUUAUUAUUACUACCAGUACUCCUUCUACUAAAUGAAUGCAGCACACACCGGCAAAGGAGAGGUAAGGGCACAAAUCCUGUAGUAUACUAAACAAUGUCCAUGCGGAUGCAUCUGAAAACUGACCACAUUCUACUUCCUACCUCCACAUACCAUUUCCUUCAAACUUCCUUUCACGUGCCCAAUCAUUCAGUAAGCCUAACUUUAGCGUUUGGAAGAAAUGGGAUAAAAAUCAAAGUGGUGUUUCACCUCUAAACAAUAACAACAACAAAAUCAAAUAAUCAGUCCUAUUAUUCAAGCUAACAUUUUAAAAGAGUUAAAAUUUGUGGCUGCUUUUAACCUUUACUGUUGGCAGUCUGAUAGUGUUUGUUGUACCAUUUUUGUGAAAGGUACUUAAAAAGUUGUAACUUUUUUUUGUAGUUCUUUUCCAUAAUGACAGCCCUUGAAUCAUUCUCUUACAUCAGAGAAACAACUUUAUUUAAUUGGGGAUUGGUCCUGCUUUGAGCAGGGGGUUGGACUAGAUGACCUCCUGAGGUCCCUUCCAACCCUGAUAUUCUAUGAUUCUAUGCAGGCAGUUUCUGCCUAUGUGUACCAGAUGUAUUCCAAAAGAAAUGAAAAAUGUACCGGACGAUGUGAGUUAGUGGUAUCUCUGUUCUAAGAUUUAAUUAUGGAAUAAUGAUAAUUGUGACUAACUUGCUCUUUUCCUCUCUGGCAUUUAAACUUUUUUUUUAAUGCCCACAAAAUAAGAUAAUAAAAACAUUAAUCAGCACUAGAGUCAACUAAUUUGCUGAAAAAAUUACUUAAGAGCUCAGCCAUGCAGGCAAAUAAAACAUUUCUUUCAAUUACAGUUGCUAUAAAAUUUGUUCAAAAGAUCACAGCGUACAAAGACUCUUACUAUACUGCUAAAAGGAGCACUGCAGUACACGCAGAUUAUUUUAAAUUAAAGGAAAAAAUA